rnacentral:tRNA from 1 species
GCGUUUAGCUCAGUCCGGUAGAGCAUCUGGCUUUUAACCAGUGUGUCGCAGGUUCGAAUCCUGCAAC